UACGUAAGUGGCAAGCGUUGUCCGGAUUUAUUGGGCGUAAAGGGCGCGUAGGCGGCCCGUUAAGUCCAGUGUGAAAUCUCUCGGCUUAACCGAGAGCGGCCACUGGAUACUGGCAGGCUAGAGGGAGGCAGAGGAAAGCAGAAUUCCCGGUGUAGCGGUGAAAUGCGUAGAUAUCGGGAGGAAUACCAGUGGCGAAGGCGGCUUUCUGGGCCCACCCUGACGCUGAGGCGCGAAAGCGUGGGGAGCAAACCGG
rnacentral:rRNA from 1 species